UACAGAGGUCUCAAGCGUUUGUUCGGAUUCAUUGGGCGUAAAGGGUGCGUAGGCGGCGCGGUAAGUCGGGUGUGAAAUCUCGGGGCUUAACUCCGAAACUGCAUUCGAUACUGCCGUGCUUGAGGACUGGAGAGGAGACUGGAAUUUACGGUGUAGCGGUGAAAUGCGUAGAUAUCGUAAGGAAGACCAGUGGCGAAGGCGGGUCUCUGGACAGUUCCUGACGCUGAGGCACGAAGGUCAGGGGGAGCAAAACGGGG
rnacentral:rRNA from 1 species